GGGGUAUUCGUAUAACGGCUUAUUAUAACUGGCUUCCAACCAGUAGACAAGGGUUCGAUUCCCUUAUGCCCCUCCA
rnacentral:tRNA from 1 species